rnacentral:rRNA from 1 species
AUGAUUUCUCAGGUCACCAUCUCUACUUAUUGUUCUUGGAUCUUUGUUGGUUGCAGAUAGAAAGACUAAGACAGUGGGAGGAAGACAAGUUGCUGGUUUGGCUUUUUGGGGAAGAAUGGAGACGACGUGUGAAGUCUUGGCAAUGGCUUGCUCUGCUCUCUCUCCUUUUAAUAUCAGAAAACCCUCUUCCUUGGCUGGUAUGGCUGCCCAUCCCUUCUUUACCGUGUUGCCUUUGUGGAGCCUUUCUAUUGGCUAGGAGUUGCAGCCCAUGCCUAGACCAACUGUUGGUCAAUUGACUACUGAUAUACAUAUUAUGCACGUGAUGGUGGUGGUCAAAUGUGUAUCUCAAAUGUGUCUUGCUG